rnacentral:rRNA from 1 species
AUAAUACUCCAUAGAUUAUGGAAUCUGGAAUGAUCCAUGGAUGAAAGUUCCGGCGCUUAAGGAUCGGUCUGCGGCCUAUCAGGUUGUAGUGGGUGUAACGUACCUACUAGCCGAUGACGGGUAUGGGCCUUGAGAGAGGGAGCCCAGAGUUGGAUUCUGAGACACGAAUCCAGGCCCUACGGGGCGCAGCGGUCGCGAAAACUUCACAAUGGGGGCAACCCCGAUGAGGGAAUUCCUAAUGCUAACACAUUUGUGUUAGCUUUUCUUUAGCGUAGAUAACUAGAGGAAUAAGGGCUGGGAAAGACGGGUGCCAGCCGCCGCGGUAAUACCUGCAGCCCAAGUGGUGGUCGAGUUUAUUGAGUCUAAAACGUUCGUAGCCGGUUCGGUAAAUCUUUGGGUAAAUCGGAGGGCUUAACCUUCCGACUUCCGAGGAGACUGCCGAACUUGGGACCGGGAGAGGCUAGAGGUACUUCUGGGGUAGGGGUAAAAUCCUGUAAUCCUAGAAGGACCACCGGUGGCGAAGGCGUCUAGCUAGAACGGAUCCGACGGUGAGGGACGAAGCCCUGGGUCGCAAACGGGAUUAGAUACCCCGGUAGUCCAGGGUGUAAACGCUGCAGACUUGGUGU